UCCCCUGUGGCCCAGCUGGCUAAGGCGUCCGACUGUUAAGCUUCGUGCAACACAUAAUCGGGAGAUCCACAGUUCGAUCCUGUGCGGGGGAG
rnacentral:tRNA from 1 species